ACUUGAGGAAAUAGAAGAGGUUGAGGAAGAAAUGGAGGCUGCUUGUUUAGCCGCUGAAAUGGAGAUCCCAUUAUUUGUUCAACUCUUACCACGGAGCCCUGGACCAUUUCCCUUUUGGGACCCAGAAAGGCUCAAAGUAGCUUACAAUACAUGACAACAAC